CAAAGACUUACCACACCAGAUGGAUUCGACAGUUCCGAGCAGAUAAAAUUCCGGGGAUUACCAGACAAAAAGAGAACGCUAUUCCUACUUUUUAAUUCACUCCACCAGAGAGCGGGAUCGAAGUGAAGAUAAUCUGUGCAGAUGCUGGGAAUCCAGUGUAAACUUGAGGACCUUAGCAGCUCUGGCAGCAUCUAUGGAGAGGAGUAAAAGAGUCGAUGUUUCAGGCCGAGGUUCUUCAUCGGGACUGAGUUCUUCCAGCAUUUCCGUGAAGAUUAUCCUGUGGCAGUGACUUGGCCAUGGUCCUUCGACUUGGAUGGGCCAAAGAACCUAUUUCUGCGUUCUGUGACUCUAUGACUCAUUGGAGCUCUGCCAGAACUGAUAGGUGAGCAACCAGGAUGUCCUGCAGGCACCUCAGCCCUACCUAAAUAGGCAUUUUCUCACUGGGCCAAUCAAAUCAUGAGUUUUGUUUUCACAACAGAAAAUGGCUGCGGUGUAUUUAAUAUUUUAAUAGUAUUUCAGUAACUGUGCCUAUAUUUUGAUUCAUUAAACAUUCUUGUUUGUUUAAAUAGUUCAUUAUGCUUUAUAUGUAUAAAUAUGUGAAUUGUAUAUGUCAUCAUGCUACCACUUAUUACAUGCCUGCCUCGAUUAAAGUAAACUCGA